rnacentral:lncRNA from 15 species
AUUUGCACACCGUAGCUUGCCAUAUCCGCACCAAAUAGAAACAUGUCUGGCAGAGGUAACUUGGACUGAAUACAGAUGCCUGCUGGUAGAAAGAUUUGCAAUGGAUAGCAGGAGUGGGAACGUGAGGCAUGAUGUGGGUUCAGGUACUUUUAUGCCAAAAAUCAGUAACCAGUUUUGACCUUCGCCUUGACUGAUUUGAGCCAAAGACCAAAAGCCACACAGGUAUGAACUGAAUCUUCCCCUCGGA